GACGAACGCUGGCGGCGUGCCUAACACAUGCAAGUCGAACGGAAAGGCCCUGCUUUUGUGCGGUGCUCGUGUGGCGAACGGGUGAGUAACACGUGUGUAACCUGCCCUUGUCUUUCGGAUAACUUCAGGAAACUGGGGAUAAUACCGGAUAGGAGCUACUGCUCCACGGUGGGGGUUGGAAAGUUUCGGCGGUUGGGGAUGGACUAGCGGCUUACCAGCUUGGUGGUGGAGUAGUGGCUUACCAAGGCUAUGACGGAUAGCCGGCCUGGGAGGGUGGCCGGGCACAAUGGGACUGAGAGACGGAGCAGACGGCAACGGGAGGCAACGGGGGGGAGUAUUACACAGUGAGCGGGAGUCAGAUACAACAGCGCCGCGAUCGGGAAGACGGGCUACUGGGUGAGAACCGCUGUCGCCUGAGACGAAGCGGGAGUGACGGUAAUGGGUAAAGAAGCACCGGCUAACUACGUG
rnacentral:rRNA from 1 species